GCCUGGUCUAAGUACCUCCCAUUCAUGAUAAAUGGUGAAUCUUCCUCAGGCAUUUCCCAUGUGCAGCCACUGUUCUAAGUUCAGUACUUAUGGGAGUCAUCUUGUUUAAGCCUCACAACAACCCCAAAAGGUCCUUGAAAUAUGCCUCUGGAUUUGCCUCUUCCAUUGGGGUGGGGAGAAAAACCCAAGGAUGCAGAGUCAAGGCCUUCUGGAAAGACAGACAACUUGGAAAUCUAUAAGCCUGAAUCCCCAGACUGAGCAUUCUCUGAAGGUCAUAGGAGUGGAGCCCUCACCUGUGGGAUCAGUGCCCUUUUAAAAGAGACUCCAGAGAGCUCCCUUGCUGCCUUCACCAUGUGAGAACAGAGGGAGAAGAUAGCCAUCAGUGAUCUAGGAAGCAGGCCCCUGCCAGACAUCGAAACUGUGGGCACCUGGAUCUUGAACUUCCCAGCCUCAGAAAUGUGAGAAAUAAGUAUCUGUUAUAAGCCACCUA